UUCGCCCUUAGAGUUUGAUCCUGGCUCAGGACGAACGCUGGCGGCGCGCCUAACACAUGCAAGUCGAACGGGACCAUUUUAGAGUUUACUUUGGGAUGGUUUAGUGGCGGACGGGUGAGUAACACGUGAGCAACCUACCUUUCAGAGGGGGAUAACAGUUGGAAACGACUGCUAAUACCGCAUAACGUUGUAAAAGGGCAUCCAUUUACAACCAAAAGAGAAAUCUGCUGAAAGAUGGGCUCGCGGCCGAUUAGAUAGUAGGCGGGGUAACGGCCCACCUAGUCAACGAUCGGUAGCCGGACUGAGAGGUUGAACGGCCACAUUGGGACUGAGACACGGCCCAGACUCCUACGGGAGGCAGCAGUGGGGGAUAUUGCACAAUGGGCGAAAGCCUGAUGCAGCGACGCCGCGUGAGGGAAGACGGUCUUCGGAUUGUAAACCUCUGUCUUUGGGGAAGAAUAGAGACGGUACCCAAAGAGGAAGCUCCGGCUAACUACGUGCCAGCAGCCGCGGUAAUACGUAGGGAGCGAGCGUUGUCCGGAAUUACUGGGUGUAAAGGGAGCGUAGGCGGGCUUGUAAGUUGAAUGUCUAAUCCACCGGCUCAACCGGUGAUCGCGUUCAAAACUGCAGGUCUUGAGUGAAGUAGAGGCAGGCGGAAUUCCUAGUGUAGCGGUGAAAUGCGUAGAUAUUAGGAGGAACACCAGUGGCGAAGGCGGCCUGCUGGGCUUUAACUGACGCUGAGGCUCGAAAGCGUGGGGAGCAAACAGGAUUAGAUACCCUGGUAGUCCACGCCGUAAACGAUGAUUACUAGGUGUGGGGAGAUCAAACUUUUCGUGCCGGAGUAACACAAUAAGUAAUCCCCCUGGGGAGUACGGCCGCAAGGUUGAAACUCAAAGGAAUUGACGGGGGCCCGCACAAGCAGUGGAGUAUGUGGUUUAAUUCGAAGCAACGUGAAGAACCUUACCAGGUGUUGACAUCUCCUGAAUAGGUUAGAGAUAGGUGAAGCCCUUCGGGGCAGGAAGACAGGCGGUGCAUGGUUGUCGUCAGCUCGUGUCGUGAGAUGUUGGGUUAAGUCCCGCAACGAGCGCAACCCUUAUUAUUAGUUGAUUCGCAAGAGCACUCUAAUGAGACUGCCGUUGACAAAACGGAGGAAGGUGGGGAGGACGUCAAAUCAUCAUGCCCCUUAUGUCUUGGGCUACACACGUACUACAACGGCACUAAAACAAAGGGAGGCAAAGCCGCGAGGCAGAGCGAACCCCUAAAAGCCGUCCCAGUUCGGAUCGCAGGCUGCAACCCGCCUGCGCGAAGUCGGAAUCGCUAGUAAUCUCGGAUCAGAAUGCCGCGGUGAAUACGUUCCCGGGUGCUUGCACACACCGCCCGUCA
rnacentral:rRNA from 1 species